rnacentral:misc_RNA from 1 species
UCUCCGUAGGUGAGCCUGCGGAAGGAUCAUUAACGUACAAAACGUGAGGGCCAUGCGAGGGCCGUCGAUGACCCACAACUCGUGCACGCCCGAGUGUGUCCUCUUCCUUAAUAAUCCAUCCCACCCUUUGCGCAUCACCGCGGGGGCACCCUUCGGGAUCGUCCCGGACUCGGGCUGGCGUUUUCACAUAAACCCCCCUUUUAAAAGUAUAGAAUGACCACAUUUAUGCAUUCUAUUCAACUUUCAACAACGGAUCCCUUCGCUCUCGCCUCCAGGAAA